AGACACCAUCAGCUCCUUGUUAAAAGUGAACGACCGACCGGAUUCCCUGCAUCGAAAAUACUGGGCCAGUCCACGAACUACAUUGAUGAAGGCUUGACUACACAGAUAACGCUUCAACAGUAUAUUCACGUCGCAACUAUAUCACAAAACAAACACGCAACAUUGGAAAAUUUGUACACAACUGCGAGGUUAUUUCUACAGAAAGAUUUGAAGUCGAUAUAACAAAUUCCAGUCUUCUAAUGCACGAAUUUUAUAUGAUGACAACACAAUCCAGAAUACAAUGGAGCACGACUACGCCACAACUAACAAGGACAUCAUCUGGCGUUUCUGGCAUUAAAAUCUUCUUACAUUGUGUUGCACGCAAAACUAUUUGACCUCCCCUAACGACAUAGGAGCCUUCCAAACCAACAAGACGAUGGCCUGCAGAAUGAAGUGUACAUCAUCUUGAGUAGAAAACCUUACAUUUAAAUGAUAAGACUGUUUUCUACUAGAUUUCAACGCGAAAGAGUGCGAGAUUGAAACUUAACCCUCUUUGGGGCCUUUAGAUUAAAAAAAACCCAGAAAAUAAAGGGGGAUCUGAUGCUAGUUUAUUGCUACAAUUAAGAGGAUUAAAUGCUAGUUUGUGUUGACGCAUGCAA